AGGACUUACCGGCGUACUUGGAUAAGUAGGGGUGGUUUUCAGUAAACGAUCACACGGCUUUGAGAUUGAUACAUGAAUGGAAUAGAAAUUUGAGGAUAGUUCUUGGGUGAUUUCUGAAUUUGCGGUUUUUGGUUCUGGUUUUGAGUUGUCGUUUUUGCUCUGCCUCUUCUUUACCCCUGUACAUUGGAAUUUUUUUUUUUUUUUUUUUUUUU
rnacentral:misc_RNA from 1 species